rnacentral:rRNA from 1 species
GACGAACGCUGGCGGCGUGCCUAACACAUGCAAGUCGAACGAAACACCCCUCCCGAAUAUCGCCCCAGCUCGCAGCAGAUUGAUUCAUUCCCGUUGACUGAGUGUCGCACGGGUGAGUAACGCGUGGGUAACCUGCCUCACAGCGGGGGACAACAGUAGGACACGACUGUUAAUACCGCUUAGUAUGAAUAAUUCGUAUGGUAUCUUCUUGAAAGAUUUAUCACUAUGGGAUGGUCCCGCGUCUGAUUAGCUAGUUGGUAGGGUAACGGCUUACCAAGGCGACGAUCAGUAGCCGGCGUGAGAGGAUGAACAGCCACAUUGGGACUGAGACACGGCCCAGACUCCUACGGGAGGCAGCAGUGGGGAAUAUUGCACAAUGGGGGAAAGCCUGAUGCAGCGACGCCGCGUGAGUGAAGAAGUAUUUAGGUAUGUAAAGCUCUAUUAGCCGGGAAGAUAAUGACGGUACCUGAAUAAGAAGCCCCGGCUAACUACGUG